CGGACAUUAGUGUAAUGGUAGCACACGUAUGUAUAACGAGUCUUGUUAAAGACUUAAACAGCAUACCAACACAACACUUUUGGGAAGUCGUAGAGAAGGUUCAAAUCCUUCAUGUCCGA
rnacentral:tRNA from 1 species